rnacentral:rRNA from 1 species
UUAAAAAGCUCGUAGUUGAAUUUCGGGAUCAGAUUGUCGGUCGUGCCUCGGUACGCACUGGCAUUAUUAGUUCCUACCUUCUGAAGAACCGCGAUGUCAUUAAUUUGGUGUCGUGGGGAAUCAGGACUGUUACUUUGAAAAAAUUAGAGUGUUUAAAGCAGGCGCACGCUUGAAUACAUUAGCAUGGAAUAAUGAAAUAGGACGUUUGAUUCUAUUUUGUUGGUUUCUAGGAUCGACGUAAUGAUUAAUAGGGAUAGUUGGGGG